UACAGGGGGUGCAAACGUUGCUCGGAAUCAUUGGGCGUAAAGCGCACGUAGGCGGUUCGUUAUGUCGGAUGUGAAAGCCCUUGGCUUAACCGAGGAAGUGCAUCCGAAACUGGCGAGCUAGAGUACUAAAGAGGAUCGCGGAAUUCCCGGUGUAGAGGUGAAAUUCGUAGAUAUCGGGAGGAACACCGGUGGCGAAGGCGGCGAUCUGGGUAGAUACUGACGCUGAGGCGCGAAAGCGUGGGGAGCGAACCGG
rnacentral:rRNA from 1 species